rnacentral:rRNA from 1 species
GACGGAGGAUGCAAGUGUUAUCCGGAAUCACUGGGCGUAAAGCGUCUGUAGGUCGUUUAAAAAGUCUACUGUUAAAAAUUGAAGCUUAACUUCAAAGGUGCCGUAGAAACUUUUAAACUUGAGUAUGGUAGGGGUAGAGGGUAAUUUCCAGUGGAGCGGUGAAAUGCGUAGAUAUUGGAAAGACCACCAAUGGCGAAGGCACUCUACUGGGCCAUUACUGACACUGAGAGACGAAAGCUAGGGGAGCAAAUGGG